GACGAAGGUGGCGAGCGUUAAUCGGAAUUACUGGGCGUAAAGCGCGCGUAGGCGGCUUUUCAAGUCGAUUGUGAAAUCCCCGGGCUUAACCUGGGAACUGCAGUCGAGACUGUCUAGCUAGAGUAUGGGAGAGGGAAGUGGAAUUUCAGGUGUAGCGGUGAAAUGCGUAGAUAUCUGAAGGAACAUCAGUGGCGAAAGCGACUUCCUGGACCAAUACUGACGCUCAUGUGCGAAAGCGUGGGGAGCAAACAGG
rnacentral:rRNA from 1 species